rnacentral:rRNA from 1 species
AACUUGACUUCUGAAAACAUACUUAAUAAGUUAAAACUUUCAACAACGGAUCUCUUGGUUCUGGCAUCGAUGAAGAACGCAGCGAAAUGCGAUAAGUAAUGUGAAUUGCAGAAUUCAGUGAAUCAUCGAAUCUUUGAACGCACAUUGCGCCCAUUAGUAUUCUAGUGGGCAUGCCUGUUCGAGCGUCAU